rnacentral:lncRNA from 1 species
AUUUUUUUGUUUUUUAGGAUUUUUUGUUGGUGCAUGAGUAGAGAUAUUUCAGCAAUUGAAGAGUAUUCUUUUGAUCCAAAAUUGAGAGAACCUUGAGAAUGAGGAGAAAAGAAUUGUGAGAAAUGGAAAGAAUUAGAAAUGAUCAGGUUAGAGAAGAGUCAUUACAUCAGGAAGGAAGGGAUGCUAAUAUUUCUCGAGUAAUAGAUGACAGAGAUAGACCCAUUAGAGAACAUGUAGUGCCGAUUUU